rnacentral:rRNA from 1 species
UGGGGAAUUUUGGACAAUGGGGGCAACCCUGAUCCAGCAAUGCCGCGUGUGUGAAGAAGGCCUUCGGGUUGUAAAGCACUUUUGUCCGGAAAGAAARCUUCSUGGUUAAUACCCGGGGRGGAUGACGGUACCGGAAGAAUAAGCACCGGCUAACUACGUGCCAGCAGCCGCGGUAAUACGUAGGGUGCRAGCGUUAAUCGGAAUUACUGGGCGUAAAGCGUGCGCAGGCGGUKCUGUAAGACMGAUGUGAAAUCCCCGGGCUUAACCUGGGAACUGCAUUGGUGACUGSAGSGCUGGAGUAUGGCAGAGGGGGGUGGAAUUCCACGUGUAGCAGUGAAAUGCGUAGAGAUGUGGAGGAACACCGAUGGCGAAGGCAGCCCCCUGGGCCAAUACUGACGCUCAUGCACGAAAGCGUGGGGAGCAAACAGGAUUAGAUACCCUGGUAGUCCACGCCCUAAACGAUGUCAACUGGUUGUCGGGCCUUCAUUGGCUUGGUAACGUAGCUAACGCGUGAAGUUGACCGCCUGGGGAGUACGGUCGCAAGAUUA